rnacentral:rRNA from 1 species
GACGAACGCUGGCGGCGUGCUUAACACAUGCAAGUCGAACGGAAAGGCCCUGCUUUUGUGGGGUGCUCGAGUGGCGAACGGGUGAGUAACACGUGAGUAACCUGCCCUUGACUUUGGGAUAACUUCAGGAAACUGGGGCUAAUACCGGAUAGGAGCUCCUGCUGCAUGGUGGGGGUUGGAAAGUUUCGGCGGUUGGGGAUGGACUCGCGGCUUAUCAGCUUGUUGGUGGGGUAGUGGCGUACCAAGGCUUUGACGGGUAGCCGGCCGGAGAGGGUGACCCGCCACAUUGGUACUGAGAUACGGCCCAGACUCCUACGGGACGCAGCAGUAGGGAAUAUUGCACACUGGUCGGAAGCCUGAUGCAGCGACGCCGCGUGCGGGAUAACGGCCUUCGGGUUGUAAACCGCUUUCGCCUGUUACGAAGCGUGAGUGACGGUAAUGGGUAAAGAAGCACCGGCUAACUACGUG